UGGUGGGGUGAUUUGUCUGGUUAAUUCCGUUAACGAACGAGACCUCGACCUGCUAAAUAGUACGGCGAAUAAUUUAUUCGUACGUGACUUCUUAGAGGGACUAUCGCUGUGUAGGCGAUGGAAGUUCGAGGCAAUAACA
rnacentral:rRNA from 1 species